rnacentral:rRNA from 1 species
UACAGAGGUCUCAAGCGUUGUUCGGAUUCAUUGGGCGUAAAGGGCGCGUAGGCUGCGGGGCAAGUCGGGUGUGAAAUCUCAGAGCUCAACUCUGAAACUGCACUCGAUACUGCUUUGCUCGAGGACUGGAGAGGAGAUUGGAAUUCACGGUGUAGCAGUGAAAUGCGUAGAGAUCAUGAGGAAGACCAGUGGCGAAGGCGGGUCUCUGGACAGUUCCUGACACUGAGGCACGAAGGCCAGGGGAGCAAACAGG